rnacentral:tRNA from 2 species
GGAGAGGUGGCAGAGUGGUCGAUUGCGGCGGUCUUGAAAACCGUUGAGGUGAAAGCCUCCGGGGGUUCGAAUCCCUCCCUCUCCG